AUAUUUAGCUUUUCUCAACAUAAUGCAGAAGAAUCAUCCAGUUCUUUCAUCUUUUGUUCCAACUAUGGAGAAACAUGGGUUGGACUUCAGAAUUCUUUUUUUUUUUUCCAAACUUUCAAGGACUGCUCUUCAACUUCAUCUUCUCAACUGGAAGUGCAAUUUUAGAUCAGUUUUUGUCUCAAUCUUUACCCUAAUCAGAUUUUUCAGUUUCAUAGCUAAUGUUUAAAAAUGGGCUCAAUUUAAUUUUCUCUUUCUCAUUCACCUUCUCCUCUCUGAUUUCUAUCACUGGACCAUUUUCUGCACACAAACUCUCACUAAACCAUAGAGAUAAUAGAUCUGAAGAAGAAGAAACUUGGGUGAAUCAAAGAUGUCGUGGCAAACAUAUGUUGAUGAUCACUUGCUUUGUGAGAUUGAAGGUAAUCAUCUCACUUCUGCUGCUAUUAUCGGUCAAGACGGCACCGUUUGGGCCCAAUCUGCUAAUUUCCCUCAGGUUGCUUGUGCAUGUUUGAAACUAGAUGCAUAGGUGCAACCUUUUGAGAAGUACCGAAAAUUUGAUUCAAAUAAAUUAUGUUUAUGGACAGGGUGACACUUGGCUAAAAUAAGAAGCUUAAAUGACUUGGCUGGCAAGUGACAACUAUAUGAAAAUGGCCAUUCACAGUGUAAGUCUCCAAUCUUUUUUUGUGUGAUGUUGAGCUUACGUUGUCUCAUGCUCUGUAGUUGAGGUUUCUCAUCAUGCAUGGUCGCGAAGAUAUUCUGUUUUGCUAACUCCGUUUUAUGUUUUGUCUCGGUGUCGAGAAAGGGUUACCAGUUUAGUGUUUCUAGAAUUACCUUUAUCUUAUUGCUCUUUGGCAAUGGUAUUUCAUUUGCUUACAUGUGUAAUCCUACAGUACCAUUACUACUAUUUUAACUUUUUUGUCAACAAGAAGAAUUAGAUAUAACUUAUAGUUUUUCAGAAUGAGUAGAUAUUUUUCCAUGUGAUAUCUUUUCUCAAUUAGUAGUUAACCUGUUAUGGAGCAUUGACUACAAAUUGUUGUUUAGAUGACUUUAUUUUAUUUUUUUACUCUCAAGUUGUUCAAGGGACGAGGGGAUAAAAUACAGUAAACAACCGUAUGAAUGGUGGAAUAAUAUGAAUGACAGCUAUCUCAUGUAACAAUUUCUUAAGAGCACGAUUCUGGUCGUGCUACAAUUACUAAUGUUAUUUGGUCAAGAAUUAUCAUUAGCAAAAAUAUUUCUUUCUAUUUCUUUGUCUAGACAAUCUAUUUGAACACUAAGGUAUACAUGAUUAAUUUCAUCGAUUAUUUCUUCUUUUUAUUUGAUAUUUAGGUCAGUAGAAAUGUGUAUAUGUACAAUCCUUCUAAUGUGUUUCUCAAUCUAAUGAUGAUUAAAUACAUUACUUUGAUAUCUGAUCUCCAUGCUAGCCUCUCCAUUUUCAUUGAAUAAAUGAAAUUUAAUUUUUCUGUUUUAAUCCUUACAAGAACACAAUGUCAAUGUGUUUUUUAUUUUAACUAUAUAGAAGCGUGGGUUAGGAGAAUGGAUCGACAUGGUGCCUUAUGUGUCAAUAAAAUUACAAUCAAGGGCAAUUUAGAGAUUCAAGGCAGGCUUAUUUAGGUUAGUUUACGUGUCAACAACCCUCUAGCUGUCACUUUCUUCUCACAGAACUCAUCUCUGUGCCGACUACCUCUCCGUUGUUCAAAAACCCGAACACCACACUCCUUUUCACCUCACACACUCCCAUCCCACCUUCCCACAAAGGUGUUCGAGGUAUUCAUAAAAUCCGGCAAAACGGAGAAGCCAGGUUUGUCUCAAAGGGUACCAAAGGAGAUUCCAACCAUUGAUAUUCCUCUCAGGGUAAGUUCACAAUUUUCCAUAUCCUUUAAACUUGGGUACAUCAUUCAUGUUCUUUGAUUAUCGUUUAUCUCGACUCUUUUAUGACAUUUUGAUCAAUGAAUUUUGUUCUGUUAGUUUGUUGGAGAGAUUGCACAAGCAAUGUGUUUUUUAUUUUAACUAUAUAGAAGCGUGGGUUAGGAGGAUGGAUCAACAUGGUACCUUAUGUGUCAAUAAAAUUACAAUCAAGGGCAAUUUAGAGAUUCAAGGCAGGCUUAUUUAGGUUAGUUUACGUGUCAACAACCCUCCAGCUGUCACUUUCUUCUCACAGAACUCAUCUUUGUGCCGAAUGCCUCUCCGAUGUUCAAAAACCCGAACACCACACUCUUUUUCACCUCACACACUCCCAUUCCACCUUUCCACAAAGGCGUUCGAGGUAUUCACAAAAUCCGGCAAAACGGAGAAGCCAGGUUUGUCUCAAAGGGUACCAGAGGAGAUUCCAACCAUUGAUAUUCCUCUCAGGUUUGUUGGAGAGAUUGCACAAGAUAUUACACAUGUUGGAUAGGAUAAAUAAAGCUUAUGUGGAUGAGAACCAUAAGCCAUGGUGGCCUCUGCUGCCUCACUCACUUUUGGAAGUUUUUGAACCAAAUUAAACAUCAAACUGCUAUCUUUUUGCAAAAUUGCACUGCCUGUUUUGAAAGCUGGAUUCCCGAAGAGCAAAGAAUAUAUGCAACGCACAAUACUUUAACAAGCCUCUCCAGGUAUUUUGUCAACCACGCAUCACACAGCUACAACGUUAACUGCGAAGAACAAGAUGACUGCCAGCGGCAUAGUCGGUGGUUGUGUUACUAUAUUGCCUUUUGCCACUACCGACUUCUAUCAAUAUAUAACUAAUGUGUGUAUGCAUAGACAUGCAAUCAUCAAUGUGUAUAUAAACAUUAUGCUUUAGUUGUGCAAUACCUUCUUCUGUCAAACUGUUAAUAAUGUGUAUGUUUAUAUAUAUAUAUAUAUAAACCGUUUAAACGA